rnacentral:rRNA from 1 species
CGGUAAGGCCCUUCGGGGUACACGAGUGGCGAACGGGUGAGUAACACGUGGGUAAUCUGCCCUGCACAUCGGGAUAAGCCUGGGAAACUGGGUCUAAUACCGAAUAGGACCACAGAACACAUGUCCUGUGGUGGAAAGCUUUUGCGGUGUGGGAUGGGCCCGCGGCCUAUCAGCUUGUUGGUGGGGUGAUGGCCCACCAAGGCGACGACGGGUAGCCGGCCUGAGAGGGUGUCCGGCCACACUGGGACUGAGAUACGGCCCAGACUCCUACGGGAGGCAGCAGUGGGGAAUAUUGCACAAUGGGCGAAAGCCUGAUGCAGCGACGCCGCGUGGGGGAUGACGGCCUUCGGGUUGUAAACCUCUUUCACCAUCGACGAAGGUUCGGGUUUUCUCGGAUUGACGGUAGGUGGAGAAGAAGCACCGGCCAACUACGUGCCAGCAGCCGCGGUAAUACGUAGGGUGCGAGCGUUGUCCGGAAUUACUGGGCGUAAAGAGCUCGUAGGUGGUUUGUCGCGUUGUUCGUGAAAUCUCACGGCUUAACUGUGAGCGUGCGGGCGAUACGGGCAGACUUGAGUACUGCAGGGGAGACUGGAAUUCCUGGUGUAGCGGUGGAAUGCGCAGAUAUCAGGAGGAACACCGGUGGCGAAGGCGGGUCUCUGGGCAGUAACUGACGCUGAGGAGCGAAAGCGUGGGGAGCGAACAGGAUUAGAUACCCUGGUAGUCCACGCCGUAAACGGUGGGUACUAGGUGUGGGUUUCCUUCCUUGGGAUCCGUGCCGUAGCUAACGCAUUAAGUACCCCGCCUGGGGAGUACGGCCGCAAGGCUAAAACUCAAAGAAAUUGACGGGGGCCCGCACAAGCGGCGGAGCAUGUGGAUUAAUUCGAUGCAACGCGAAGAACCUUACCUGGGUUUGACAUGCACAGGACGCCGGCAGAGAUGUCGGUUCCCUUGUGGCCUGUGUGCAGGUGGUGCAUGGCUGUCGUCAGCUCGUGUCGUGAGAUGUUGGGUUAAGUCCCGCAACGAGCGCAACCCUUGUCUCAUGUUGCCAGCGGGUAAUGCCGGGGACUCGUGAGAGACUGCCGGGGUCAACUCGGAGGAAGGUGGGGAUGACGUCAAGUCAUCAUGCCCCUUAUGUCCAGGGCUUCACACAUGCUACAAUGGCCGGUACAAAGGGCUGCGAUGCCGCGAGGUUAAGCGAAUCCUUUUAAAGCCGGUCUCAGUUCGGAUCGGGGUCUGCAACUCGACCCCGUGAAGUCGGAGUCGCUAGUAAUCGCAGAUCAGCAACGCUGCGGUGAAUACGUUCCCGGGCCUUGUACACACCGCCCGUCACGUCAUGAAAGUCGGUAACACCCGAAGCCAGUGGCCUAACCCU